ACAGUAGCUCACUGGCAGAACACCUGCUUUUUAUGCAGAAGAUCCCAGGUUCAAAUACCUGGCAUCUCUA